rnacentral:tRNA from 1 species
UCUCAUGGCGUAGGCAACGCGCCUUAACUAGAGAUCAGGGAGUCGUGAGUUCGAUUCUCACUGAGA